rnacentral:rRNA from 1 species
CUACGGGGUGCUCCAGUAAGGAAUAUUGCGCAAUGGAGGCAACUCUGACGCAGCCAUGCCGCGUGCAGGAAGAAGGCCUUAUGGGUCGUAAACUGCUUUUAUUUAGGAAUAAACCCCCGAACGUGUUCGGGGCUGAAGGUACUAAACGAAUAAGCACCGGCUAACUCCGGGCCAGCAGCCGCGGUAAUACGGAGGGUGCAAGCGUUAUCCGGAUUUAUUGGGUUUAAAGGGUGCGCAGGCGGGCUAUUAAGUCAGUGGUGAAAUCCCGGGGCUCAACUCCGGAACUGCCAUUGAUACUGAUAGUCUUGAGUUUGGUUGAAGUGGGCGGAAUGUAGCAUGUAGCGGUGAAAUGCAUAGAUAUGCUACAGAACACCAAUCGCGAAGGCAGCUCACUAAGCCAAAACUGACGCUCAUGCACGAAAGCGUGGGGAUCAAACAGGAUUAGAUACCCGAGUAGUC